rnacentral:rRNA from 1 species
AGAUUAAGUUAUUAAGGGCGCACGGUGGAUGCCUUGGCACUAGAAGCCGAUGAAGGACGUUACUAACGACGAUAUGCUUUGGGGAGCUGUAAGUAAGCUUUGAUCCAGAGAUUUCCGAAUGGGGAAACCCAGCAUGAGUUAUGUCAUGUUAUCGAUAUGUGAAUACAUAGCAUAUCAGAAGGCACACCCGGAGAACUGAAACAUCUUAGUACCCGGAGGAAGAGAAAGAAAAUUCGAUUCCCUUAGUAGCGGCGAGCGAAACGGGAAGAGCCCAAACCAACAAGCUUGCUUGUUGGGGUUGUAGGACACUCUAUACGGAGUUACAAAGGACGACAUCAGACGAAUCAUCUGGAAAGAUGAAUCAAAGAAGGUAAUAAUCCUGUAGUCGAAAAUGUUGUCUCUCUUGAGUGGAUCCUUAGUACGACGGAGCACGUGAAAUUCCGUCGGAAUCUGG